rnacentral:lncRNA from 10 species
CAUCCUCAUAGCCCCAGGGUGGGGGCAGGAUCCUUCUCCUCACUGGGCUGAGUGGCAGAGGAGGGGUGGGAUCCUGGCCAUGCUUGUGUCAUCCAGGCAUCUAGGCUUCCAGAGCAGCUUCUCACCAGCAGACCCCAGUGCAGGGUGCACCGCAGGGGAAGGGCCCACAGACUGGGCUCCUGGCCAGGAUACCUGAGCUUGCAUUCUACCUCAAAAGCAGUUGGGGAAGCCAGAGCCAAGCCCCUCUCCACCUACGUCCUGAAUUUCCCUCAGUCUAAGGCUGGGGGUGAGGCCGAGGACCUCUAAAUCCGCAAACACACCAAAAUACCCACCCAUACGCAUACACACCCACACUCUGUUCCCCCUCUGAAACCUGGAAUCACUCCUGCCUGCCCCACCCAGCUCCACCCACCCUGGCUAGGCAGGUUCUGUAGAGACCUGCUCCGCUGUCUCUCUGGCACCCCCACCCCCAUCCCAGCUCCCAGAAGGUACCUGCCCCCCAACACAGCACACAAAAGCAGACACGUGUGCACAUUCAUGUCCCAUAGCACCCCAUUCCCUAGCCUUCCCCAGACCCAUUCCUAGUCCGUCUUGAAGAGAACACUGGGGGUGGAAAGGCUGCAGGAGAAAAGGCAGGCCCCACAAUUUCCACCACCAGGCUUUGAGCUGCUUCCUCCCUUGGCCUAGGCAGAGAACUGGCCCGUACCUGCCCACCAGAAAACAGGGGAAUUACUCAAGUGCAAGAUUAAAGGCAAUAAUGAGCAAUCAGACCGAACUGGAAUGACAGUAGGGGAAGGUGAAGAGACUUUGGGAAAAGGAAGAGCACUGAAGUCAGACCUGGCACAGCCUUUUACGAGCUAUGUAAUCUCAGGUGAGUCGCUCCCCUUUUCCAAACUUCAGUUUCCUUAUCUAUAAAAUGGCAAUAAUAGUGCCUACUUCAGAAGGUUAAGAGUUUUCAGCAAAAUAAUGUAUGCAGAAUAUUACAGAUUCUGGCACACAAUAGAUGCUUAAAAAAAUGUUAGUUCCCACCUUUUCUCCUUUAGUGGGUCCACAGCGAAUCCCCUCCACUUCCUGCUCCCAUAACCUCACUGUAAGGAGAAACACCCCAAAAUAAGAUGGAACCACCUCUAGGUGCAGGGUUGUCCCUGUUCUAAAUUAGACCACAUCCAGGUACUGCCUGAGAGAGCAACCAACAUGCCUCUUCCUCCUCUCUGCUUCUUUCUUCAGAGGCCCUUGGAUCCCCCACCUUUCCUCCUCUCCUUCCUCCUUCCUCACUUACAGUAAAGCAGACCUGGGUUCCAAUCACCUCCCACUCUCCUCUAGGCUCUAAGCCCAGCUGUGUGUGGAGCGGCAGGGGAAGGAGGCCCCAAGCCUCCCACCCUACCCAGCCCCCAGCUUCAUCCCACUCUCCCCUCUCCCUGCCCCACCCUGAUUACCAGGAUAUCCUCAGGUCUGCUGAUUCCAAGCCUGCUUCUCUCAAACCAGUUCCCAGCUGUUAUGUCUAUAAUUACCAAUCUUGCCAGGGGCAUCCGACAAAGCACAGCAAAACCUCAUUUCCAAAGGGCCCCACCAUAAAGGGCCUCUGCCUCCUACUCUGUACCAAGCAGGGUAGAGACAAGGAAUGCAAACAUUCUCCCUGGCCCACCACAGUUCUAUCCAGACUACAACAGAGAAGGUGAGAGAGGGCUGCCCAAGCCACAUCACCAAGAGACAGGAUAAAGAAGGGGAGGGCCGCCGUAGGGUAGAAUGUGAGUAGGACUUAGUCCCAGGCCUUUCCUUCACCUCUGCUGCCAAAAUCUCAUCAUGCACAGGGUUACCCACCUGUGGAAGGUAAAAGGGAAAAUUUCAGGUCAAUUCAGAGAGAGGGGAAGCUGAUGUCAAGUGAACAGGGAGAUGGCUCCCCACAAGGAUGAGGGUUGAUGCAUACAGGAGUGAGCUGCCCAGGAAAGAGGAGGAAAGAGCAAGUUUUAAAAGUCCCAUCCCCAGCCCAGACCCUGAGAAGAGGCAAUAAUACCCUAGCCUCUCUUCUCCCCUAAUACCUCCAACUCUACCAAGCCCAUAGCACAAGCAGGAAAGGGAUGAUUAACUUUGUUUUAUAGACAGAGAAACUGAGGCCAAAUCCCCACUUCAUACUGCAAGGUACAGGACUACCAAAUACCCUGUGUGCCUUCUUGCUCACGCUCAGCCUCCACCAGGAGUGCCAUCCUAAGACCCUUCCUGUUGGCCUAACUCAUCCUUUAACCAGCUAACAGGGCAUCUCCUGCAGGAACCUUCCCUGGCACCUCACCCCAGGGCCAAGCACUCUUCCUCUAUGCUCCAGUGGCCUCCUGAACACACCUCCACACAGCACUCACUGGGCUGCAGUGAAUCAACAUGUUUUCACAUGUCUCCCCUGGGAAAACAUCUUAUUUGCCCCUCCAUCCCCUGUGCUUCACACUGUGCCUGGCAGAUAGGAGAGAGUGCCUAAUGUGGUCGGCCAAAGGAAGAUCAGAACCAAAGCCUAGUUCUCCUAUCCCGACUCCGACCUCUCUCCCUUAAUGAUGAUUAUCCCUCAGAAUCCGAACCAUCCAGCUAACAUUUACUAUGUGCCAGGAACUGUGCAACGUGCUUUCUCUAUUAUUUCAUUUAAUCCUCAUAACCCCAAGAAGUAGGGCCUAUUAUUAAUUCCAUUUUACAGGUGAGGCUUCAAAAAGUUACCAGUUUUGUCUGAUGUCACGGAAUUAGACAGUGGCAAAGCCAGAAUUUAAAAGCAAACCAGGGAAGAAAGCCACUUGGUGGGGGACCAGGGAUUCCUUGUGGAAGGGCUCAGUCUAGGCUUGGAGGAUGUGCCUUAAGACACCUAAGAGGCUGGGGAAUGGGGUUUAUUACUUGCCCAGAUCACACCACUGUUAAGUACUAAUUCCAACCAACUCUGACUCCUUUCUCUGGCCUCACAAUGUGAUGAACACUUGAGGGAAGGAGAAGACUGGAGUUCCCUAAAACUCAGAGGGGAUCAGAUCUCUUCCUUUUCCCUGCCAAAGCUUCUGUUAGUCAAGUUCCCUCCCCAUUAACUGGAAGGACCUGGAAACCAGAUGAGCAGAUAAAAAACUGUCCUGCUCUAGGGCCAGGGAAGGGGGGAUAUUUCCUCAGAUCUAAAAGGAUCAGGAGGAGAGGCAAACACACCAGAGAGGCCUGCCCCGGAAGAAUUAGAGGAAAUAGAAGUCAGGAGCAAGACAAUGGGUGAGGAGGGGCCAACGUGGCCACUGACUCCCAAUCUGGAAGUACUUUCAGAAAUGGCAUUUCCUAUUAUCUGACCACAAUUCCUCCUCUUUGGAAGAGAGCCCCCACCAGCAUAAUAUAUCAUGCAUGUGAUCAGCGUAUACAGAGCAAACAAGGGACCCCAGAGGGCCAGGGCACACCAUCUUAGAUGCAAGUGCCUUACUAGCCCUGGGAGCCCUAACUAUCAGACAGGUGUUGGGUUUGGGGGAAUGAUCCAUUAAAAAAAAAAAAAGGUCUUUUAAAGGUCUUUUCCUACUCUGCCCCGUUCCCCGUUCCUCGUUCAAACAUUUUCUAACCCCUACUACUCUUAUCUCCAGGCCUUAGGGAGGGUAGGGAGCCCUGAGGACUAAAGAGGGAACAUUCCAAUUG